rnacentral:rRNA from 1 species
UACGGGGGGGGCAAGCGUUGUUCGGAAUUACUGGGCGUAAAGGGCUCGUAGGCGGCCAACUAAGUCAGACGUGAAAUCCCUCAGCUUAACUGGGGAACUGCGUCUGAUACUGCGUGGCUUGAGUGCAGGAGAGGAACGCGGAAUUCCAGGUGUAGCGGUGAAAUGCGUAGAUAUCUGGAGGAACACCGGUGGCGAAGGCGGCGUUCUGGACCAAUAUUGACGCUGAGGAGCGAAAGCCAGGGGAGCAAACGGG